CCUACGGGUGGCUGCAGUGAGGAAUAUUGGUCAAUGGGCGCGAGCCUGAACCAGCCAAGUAGCGUGAAGGAUGACUGCCCUACGGGUUGUAAACUUCUUUUAUAAAGGAAUAAAGUGAGGCACGUGUGCCUUUUUGUAUGUACUUUAUGAAUAAGGAUCGGCUAACUCCGUGCCAGCAGCCGCGGUAAUACGGAGGAUGCGAGCGUUCUCCGGAUUUAUUGGGUUUAAAGGGUGCGUAGGUGGUUUUUUAAGGCAGCGGUGAAAGUUUGUGGCUCCACCAUAAAAUUGCCGUUGAAACUGGCAGACUUGAGUGUGUUUGAGGUAGGCGGAAUGCGUGGUGUAGCGG
rnacentral:rRNA from 1 species